CCUACGGGAGGCAGCAGUGAGGAAUAUUGGUCAAUGGACGAGAGUCUGAACCAGCCAAGUAGCGUGAAGGAUGACUGCCCUAUGGGUUGUAAACUUCUUUUAUAAAGGAAUAAAACGAGGCACGUGUGCCUUUUUGCAUGUAAUUUAUGAAUAAGGAUCGGCUAACUCCGUGCCAGCAGCCGCGGUAAUACGGAGGAUCCGAGCGUUAUCCGGAUUUAUUGGGUUUAAAGGGAGCGUAGAUGGGUUGUUAAGUCAGUUGUGAAAGUUUGCGGCUCAACCGUAAAAUUGCAAUUGAUACUGGCAGUCGUGAGUACAGUUGAGGUAGGCGGAAUUCGUGGUGUAGCGGUGAAAUGCUUAGAUAUCACGAAGAACCCCGAUUGCGAAGGCAGCUUACUAAACUGUGACUGACAUUGAUGCUCGAAAGUGUGGGUAUCAAACAGGAUUAGAUACCCUAGUAGUC
rnacentral:rRNA from 1 species